UACAGAGGCCUCGAGCGUUGUUCGGAAUUACUGGGCGUAAAGGGAAUGUAGGUGGUGACGUAAGUCAGAUGUGAAAGCCCUGGGCUUAACCCGGGAAGUGCAUUUGAUACUGCGUUGCUUGAGUACGAGAGGGGGAAGCGGAAUUCCCAGUGUAGGAGUGAAAUCCGUAGAUAUUGGGAGGAAUACCGAUGGCGAAGGCAGCUUUCUGGCUCGUAACUGACACUGAGAUUCGAAAGCGUGGGUAGCAAACAGG
rnacentral:rRNA from 1 species